rnacentral:lncRNA from 1 species
CAGGGGUGCCGAAGGACUCAUUCAACAUUCAAAUCAUAUCCUCUAAUUGCGCAUCCUCGAACUUACAACUAAGUUCAUCAUUCAUAGCUGCCCUCAUAAUGCAAUGCACUAUCGUGCGAUCACUGAGCCACUUCAAAUAAGUAUCUCUUAUAGCACGGGAUGCAUUGACAGUAGGUUCUUCAGGUGGUGGAUCCAUAAGCACGUGUAGAAUUUUCUCAUACUCCAAGAUGAUCUUCAACUUCUAAUACCAGUUAUCGAAAUUAGGUCCGAUAAGCUUGUCACUAUCCAAUAGUGAACAAAAUGAUAGUGUGUUGGCCAUAGCUGAUAAAGAAGAAAUAUA